CCCUACGGGGUGCACCAGGCGAGAGCAAGCCAAAAAGCCGGUUCUCCUUCCUGGAGAAGGCCAAGAGCCUGAUCUUCGAGCAGGAAGUAAUCCUUGAGGAGAAGGAUCUUGAAGAGCCCAUGUGGGCGCUGGAGAUGGCCCUCAUGGAGAGCGAUGUAGCCCUGCCGGUUGCGGAAGAGAUCGUAAGAGAGGUCAAGAGCGACCUUGUGGGAAAGAAGAAGAAGAUCGGCGCAGACACGGGUGCUCUUGCCGAGCAGUCGCUGAGAAAUGCGCGCAUAACGCUUCUCUCCAAGAACCAUCUGGAUUUUGACGAGUAUAUCAAGAGCAGAAAUAAGCCGGUCAAGAUCCUCUUCGUCGGGGUGAACGGCACCGGAAAAACGACCAGCAUCGCCAAGGUGGCCCGGUAUCUGAUGAACCAGAACUACUCCGUGGUCCUGGCGGCGGGAGGGC
rnacentral:rRNA from 1 species